CGUCUAUAUACGUAUAGCAUAUCAAUAAGCGGAGGAAAAGAAACUAACUAGGAUUCCCUCAGUAACGGCGAGUGAAGCGGGAAGAGCUCAAAUUUGAAAUCUUCAAGGUUCUACCUUGACGAAUUGUAGUUUAAAGAAGUGUUUUCUGUUGGAGUUUUGGUAAAAGUUCUUUGGAAAUAGGACAUCAUAGAGGGUGAGAAUCCCGUAUUUGACCAUUAUUUCCAACUUUGUGAUACACUUUCAAAGAGUCGGAUUGUUUGGGAGUGCAGUCCAAAAUGGGUGGUAAAUUUCAUCUAAAGCUAAAUACUGGCGAGAGACCGAUAGCGAACAAGUACCGUGAGGGAAAGAUGAAAAGAACUUUGAAAAGAGAGUUAAACAGUACGUGAAAUUGUCAAAAGGGAAGCGUUUGACACCAGUGUUGUUUUCUCGAAAAUCAAUUAAAAAUGGCAGUGAUUUUGUGUUGUAUUGACCUUAUAAGCUUUCUGCACUUUUUUCAUGUCUUUUUUAAUGCACUUUUCGUUUAACAAGUCAACAUCAAUUUCUUUUGUUGUAAAAAGGGUCAUUGGAAGGUGGCUUUCUUUUCGGAGAAAGUGUUUAUAGCCUUUGACUUCUGCAGUCGGAGAGAUUGAGGUCUGCAGCGUAGAUCCUUCGGGGUUAGAUAGCAUUUGUGCUAAGCUAUAGCCUUUCAUAGACAACUUGUUGACUAUGAUCAGUCAUGUAGCUUACUCGCUUAUGCUAUUUUACCUACGCUUAGGAUGUUGAUCUGUAGUGCGUGCGC
rnacentral:rRNA from 1 species